ensembl:misc_RNA Metazoa_SRP Metazoan signal recognition particle RNA
GCCGGGCGUGGUGGCUCACGCCUGUAAUCCCAGCACUUUGGGAGGCCGAGGUGGGUGGAUCACCUGAGGUCAGGAGUUCAAGACCAGCCUGGCCAACAUGGUGAAACCCUGUCUCUA